rnacentral:piRNA from 1 species
UAAAAAUGGUGUCUUUAAUCGGGUU